rnacentral:lncRNA from 1 species
GUGUUGAGAUGAGGUAGCGCAGCAAACAUCGAGUUAUUGUUUUGUUAAGGUGUGUUAGGAAGUCUGACAUGGCUUAACUUAAUUGCUUACGUAGUUGCAUGAAAUGCACGUGGUGGUUCAAUGUACUGCAACAUGUCACAGAACACAACUUGUUUGUGGUUAUGUCGCUUCAUAUAUGCCACUUUUAUUAAUCCAGCGCAAUGAAUAAUAACAUUGCAUUUGGUUUUUCCAUCAACAGUGCCGGAACACAGCCAAAAGAAUGAUCAACGCAGUACAGGCUGUGAAUGGACAGCCGGGGAAACUAAGCUGCUAUUAGAUUAUUAUGAGCAGUACUUUGCUGAGAUUGGACCUAUGAAAAAAUUCA